rnacentral:rRNA from 1 species
UACGUAGGCAGCGAGCGUUGUUCGGAGUUACUGGGCGUAAAGAGUGCGUAGGCGGUUUUCUAAGUUUGGUGUGAAAUCUCCCGGCUUAACUGGGAGGGUGCGCCGAAGACUGGAAGGCUUGAGUAUGGGAGAGGUAAGCGGAAUUCCCGGUGUAGCAGUGAAAUGCGUAGAGAUCGGGAGGAACAUCCAUGGCGAAGGCAGCUACCUGGACCAACACUGACACUGAGGCACGAAAGCGUGGGGAGCAAACAGG